GACGGAAGGUGCAAGCGUUGUUCGGAAUUACUGGGCGUAAAGGGCUCGUAGGCGGCCAACUAAGUCAGACGUGAAAUCCCUCAGCUUAACUGGGGAACUGCGUCUGAUACUGGAUGGCUUGGAUUCGGGAGAGGAAUGCGGAAUUCCAGGUGUAGCGGUGAAAUGCGUAGAUAUCUGGAGGAACACCGGUGGCGAAGGCGGCAUCCUGGACCGAGAUUGACGCUGAGGCGCGAAAGCCAGGGGAGCAAACGGG
rnacentral:rRNA from 1 species